rnacentral:rRNA from 1 species
UACGAGGGGGGCAAGCGUUGUCCGGAAUUAUUGGGCGUAAAGCGCGCGCAGGCGGUUCCUUAAGUCUGAUGUGAAAGCCCCCGGCUCAACCGGGGAGGGUCAUUGGAAACUGGGGAACUUGAGUGCAGAAGAGAAGAGCGGAAUUCCACGUGUAGCGGUGAAAUGCGUAGAGAUGUGGAGGAACACCAGUGGCGAAGGCGGCUCUUUGGUCUGUAACUGACGCUGAGGCGCGAAAGCGUGGGGAGCAAACAGG